GGAGAUGAAGUUCAGGAGUAGAGUGCUUGCCUGGCAGGUGAGAGCCCUGGGUUUGAUCCCUAGCACCUCUA
rnacentral:tRNA from 1 species